rnacentral:piRNA from 1 species
GCAUGGUAUAGUGAAGAAGGUC